GCCCGGGUGCUGGAAUUGGCAGACAGGCACGUUUCAGAAGCGUGUGCUAGAAAUAGCGUGGGAGUUCAACUCUCCCCCUGGGCA
rnacentral:tRNA from 1 species